rnacentral:misc_RNA from 1 species
GAUGAAGAACGUAGCGAAAUGUGAUAAGUAAUGCGAAUUGCAGAAUUCAGUGAAUCAUCGAAUCUUUGAACGCACAUUGCGCCCGCCAGUAUUCUGGCGGGCAUGCCUGUCUGAGCGUCGUUUCGACCCUCGCGCCCGGCUUCUGUCGGGGGCGGUGUUGGGGAUCGGCCACACCCUUCAGUGGGAGGCCGGCCCCUAAAUUCAGUGGCGACCACGCUGUAGCCUCCCCUGCGUAGUACUAAAACCACCUCGCAGGCGGAGAGCGGUGCGGCCCGCCGUAAAACCCCCCAACUUUUACAAGGUCGACCUCAGAUCAGGUAGGAAUACCCGCUGAACUUAAGCAUAUCAAUAAGCGGAGGA